rnacentral:rRNA from 1 species
GAUGAACGCUGGCGGCGUGCUUAACACAUGCAAGUCGAACGGAAAGGCCCAAGCUUGCUUGGGUACUCGAGUGGCGAACGGGUGAGUAACACGUGGGUGAUCUGCCCUGCACUUCGGGAUAAGCCUGGGAAACUGGGUCUAAUACCGGAUAGGACCACAUUUUGGAUGGUGUGGUGGAAAGUUUUUCGGUGUGGGAUGAGCUCGCGGCCUAUCAGCUUGUUGGUGGGGUAAUGGCCUACCAAGGCGUCGACGGGUAGCCGGCCUGAGAGGGUGUACGGCCACAUUGGGACUGAGAUACGGCCCAGACUCCUACGGGAGGCAGCAGUGGGGAAUAUUGCACAAUGGGCGCAAGCCUGAUGCAGCGACGCCGCGUGGGGGAUGACGGCCUUCGGGUUGGAAACUCCUUUCGCUAGGGACGAAGCGUUAUGUGACGGUACCUGGAGAAGAAGCACCGGCUAACUACGUG